GUUCAUAGUCCAGUGACUCCAAAGCAGGGUGGGAAAGGGUGGUGAAGGAAGCAUAAUGUUUUGAAGGUUCACCCAUGCGGUAGCACAUGAAUCUCCAUGCUGAUUUCCAUAGUGAUUGCAUCAUACAUUCCCACCAGCAAUGAAGAAGGGAUCCUUUUCUCCUGUAGCCUCUCCAGCAUUCCCCCCAUCCCCCUACACCGGUACCAGGCAUUGAACUCAGGACCUUGCACUUGCCAAACAGGAUUCGGACCCUCUCCAUAGCUGUGGCAGCAGUUGGGAAGGCAGCUGACUGAACAGAGAACCUUAUCUCUUUCCAACCUCUCCCGACUAUUGUAAAUAUCAAAUUAAGUCAUUUACACCCUUUGGAAAGAUCUAAAAUGCUAUACAAAUGUAAGGUAUGUUUUUCCUAUUAUUUUUCCUUUCCCCUUAUGAAUAAGACCCUAAAAACAGAGAGAAGUUAUUUUUAGCUUUUACUCCUCGGAAUCAAGUUUACAGUGUAUUAUUGUAAAUUCCAAAUUAGGUUUUGCUAUUCAAAUAGUAUUCUUGGAGGAGGUGGUGAACUUACACCAGGAGUGUGAAUAUGAAUCUUGGCCUUCCUACCACAUUUCCACAUUCCUGCUUAUUUAUUUAUUUACUUU